ACAGCCAUAUCACAUUGAAAUAGCAGUUCUCAUAUGAUCACCAAAGUUAAACAAUGUAGAGCUUGGUCAGUAUCUAGAUGGGUGACUGCUUGGGAAUACCAGGUGCUGG